UAUUCAUUCAAGCAGUAAGCAAUAACUAAGGCAAAAAUGGCAGGUAACUCUCUGAAGUCUAUUAUGGUGACCCUCUUCAUCUUUGCUAUGGUACUGUCUCCGAUAUUGCCAUCAGCUGAAGCAGGCCGUUUGAAUUAUCGAGGUCUCCAAUCUGGACCCAUAUGUCCAGCUUGUGUAUGCUGCUCACCUCCACCUCCAGGGUCCUGCUGCCCAUGUUGUUCUACUCCUAUAGAACCUGAAUCUACAACUGGGUCUCCAUGAAACUAUUUACGUUCGCUUAUGAUAUUCAUAUAUGUAUUCUGCAGGAAUAAAUUAGUAUAUGAAUAGAAAGGAUCAGUAUCACUCUCGUUAUUCUGUAUUCUGUACUCCUUUGUGGAGACAUAUCCAUGUUGUAUCAUCUUCCAUGACUGGCAAUUUCAAUAAAUCAAUGUCCUUGUUUUAGUAAGAUUCA